CUUUCCUUGAUGACGACUGGCGCACGGGUGAGUAACGCGUAUCCAACCUUCCCAUAACUACGGGAUAACCCGUUGAAAGACGGCCUAAUACCGUAUGACAUCGUUUGCUGACAUCAAAUAACGAUUAAAGGUUUAGCGGUUAUGGAUGGGGAUGCGUCUGAUUAGCUUGUUGGCGGGGUAACGGCCCACCAAGGCUACGAUCAGUAGGGGUUCUGAGAGGAAGGUCCCCCACAUUGGAACUGAGACACGGUCCAA
rnacentral:rRNA from 1 species